rnacentral:pre_miRNA from 1 species
AUGCACAUGAAUUCAAGGAUCUUGUUAAAAUGUAGAUUCUAAUUCAGUAGUUGUGGGGUAAACCCAAGAUUGUACAUUGCUAACAAGGUCCCAGGUAAUGCUGGU